rnacentral:rRNA from 1 species
GACGAACGCUGGCGGCGUGCUUAACACUUGCAAUUCGAACGGAAAGGCCCUGCUUUUGUGGGGUGCUCGAGUGGCGAACGGGUGAGUAACACAUGAGUAACCUGCCCUUGACUUUGGGAUAACUUCAGGAAACUGGGGCUAAUACCUGAUAGGAGCUCCUGCUGCAUGGUGGGGGUUGGAAAGUUUCGGCGGUUGGGGAUGGACUGGCGGCUUAUCAGCUUGUUGGUGGGGUAGUGGCUUACCAAGGCUUUGACGGGUAGCCGGCCUGAGAGGGUGACCGGCCACAUUGGGACUGAGAUACGGCCCAGACUCCUACGGGAGGCAGCAGUGGGGAAUAUUGCACAAUGGGCGGAAGCCUGAUGCAGCAACGCCGCGUGCGGGAUGACGGCCUUCGGGUUGUAAACCGCUUUCGCCUGUGACGAAGCGUGAGUGACGGUAAUGGGUAAAGAAGCACCGGCUAACUACGUG